CCUACGGGUGGCAGCAGUAGGGAAUGUUGCGCAAGGGGCGAAAGCCUGACGCAGCAACGCCGCGUGAUCGAGACGCCCUUCGGGGUGUAAAGAUCUGUCAGUGGGGACGAAACGGGACGGUACCCACAGAGGAAGCACCGGCUAACUCCGUGCCAGCAGCCGCGGGAAUACGGGGGGUGCAAGCGUGGUCCGGAAUCCUUGGGCGUAAAGAGUUCGUAGGCGGCACGUAAAGUCUGGUGUUAAAGGCAGCGGCUCAACUUCUUGACGGCACUGGAUACUUGCGAGCUAGAAGGCGGUAGAGGUAACUGGCAUUCCUGGUGUAGCGGUGACAUGCUUAGCUAUCAGGCGGAACCUCGGUGGCGUCCGCGCUUUACUGGGCCGUA
rnacentral:rRNA from 1 species